AGCAUGCAUUUUCGUUAUUUAUAUGUAUAUCUCACCACUCUAUUUGAGAUCUCUUUAAGCUUAUGAAUAUGCAUCUUCACCGUUCAUCAAACGAGGUAACUUCGUUCCUUUUUUUUAUAUCUCGUUGUAAACUUUACCUAUGUGUGUACUUAAGUUGUUCCUUUAUGAGAUAUGGUUUUAUGCUUGACAGGUUGUGAUUAUCUUAUAUGUGUUCAUUUUCAAAAUUUUGUAGAUUGCGUUAAUAAGUCUUUCAAUCUAUAUGUUAAAGUGACUUAUUGAUAAUU
rnacentral:lncRNA from 1 species